rnacentral:SRP_RNA from 1 species
GCCGGGCGCGGUGGCGCGUGCCUGUAGUCCCAGCUACUCGGGAGGCUGAGGUGGGAGGAUCGCUUGAGCCCAGGAGUUCUGGGCUGUAGUGCGCUAUGCCGAUCGGGUGUCCGCACUAAGUUCGGCAUCAAUAUGGUGACCUCCCGGGAGCGGGGGACCACCAGGUUGCCUAAGGAGGGGUGAACCGGCCCAGGUCGGAAACGGAGCAGGUCAAAACUCCCGUGCUGAUCAGUAGUGGGAUCGCGCCUGUGAAUAGCCACUGCACUCCAGCCUGAGCAACAUAGCGAGACCCCGUCUCUUU